GCCGCCGCCAUGGCCGAGGGCAGGAGCGCCGGGCUCUUCGCCAGGCAGGUCCAGAAGCGCUUCAGCCGGGCGCAGGAGAAGGUUCUGCAGAAAUUGGGCAAAACGGUGGAAACCAAAGACGAGCAGUUUGAGCAAAGCGCCUACAACUUCCAGCUGCAGCAGAACGAAGGCAACAAGCUCUACAAGGACCUCAAGGCGUUCGUGGGGGCGGUGAAAG
rnacentral:lncRNA from 1 species